GAUGAACGCUGGCGGCGUGCCUAAUACAUGCAAGUCGAGCGAACGGACGAGAAGCUUGCUUCUCUGAUGUUAGCGGCGGACGGGUGAGUAACACGUGGAUAACCUACCUAUAAGACUGGGAUAACUUCGGGAAACCGUAGCUAAUACCGGAUAAUAUUUUGAACCGCAUGGUUCAAAAGUGAAAGACGGUCUUGCUGUCACUUAUAGAUGGAUCCGCGCUGCAUUAGCUAGUUGGUAAGGUAACGGCUUACCAAGGCAACGAUGCAUAGCCGACCUGAGAGGGGGAUCGGCAACACUGGAACUGAGACACGGUCCAGACUCCUACGGGAGGCAGCAGAAGGGAAUCUUCCGCAAUGGGCGAAAGCCUGACGGAGCAACGCCGCGUGAGUGAUGAAGGUCUUCGGAUCGUAAAACUCGGUUAUUAGGGAAGAACAUAUGUGUAAGUAACUGUGCACAUCUUGACGGUACCUAAUCAGAAAGCCACGGCUAACUACGUG
rnacentral:rRNA from 1 species